UGUAACCGUUGGUGCUGACGUCACGACGACGUCAGCGCCGUAAAUUCAAAUUUUUUUACCGUUGGCGCGUGUAAAAAAAUUUGAAUUUACGGCGCUGACGUCGUCGUGACGUCAUCACCAACU
rnacentral:miRNA from 1 species